rnacentral:rRNA from 1 species
UGGGGAAUCUUGCACAAUGGGGGAAACCCUGAUGCAGCGACGCCGCGUGAACGAUGAAGCCCUUCGGGGUGUAAAGUUCUUUCGACAGGAACGAUAAUGACGGUACCUGGAGAAGAAGCUGCGGCUAACUACGUGCCAGCAGCCGCGGUAAUACGUAGGCAGCGAGCGUUGUUCGGAGUUACUGGGCGUAAAGCGCGUGCAGGCGGAUUGGAGAGUUGGAUGUGAAAGCUCCCGGCUUAACUGGGAGAGGUCGUUCAAUACUUCCAGUCUUGAGUGCAGUAGAGNGAAGUGGAAUUCCGGGUGUAGUGGUGAAAUGCGUAGAUAUCCGGAGGAACACCAGUGGCGAAAGCGGCUUCCUGGACUGUAACUGACGCUCAGACGCGAAAGCUAGGGUAGCAAACG